AUUGAACGCUGGCGGCAGGCCUAACACAUGCAAGUCGAACGGUAACAGGAAGCAGCUUGCUGCUUUGCUGACGAGUGGCGGACGGGUGAGUAAUGUCUGGGAAACUGCCUGAUGGAGGGGGAUAACUACUGGAAACGGUAGCUAAUACCGCAUAACGUCGCAAGACCAAAGAGGGGGACCUUCGGGCCUCUUUCCAUCGGAUGUGCCCAGAUGGGAUUAGCUAGUAGGUGGGGUAACGGCUCACCUAGGCGACGAUCCCUAGCUGGUCUGAGAGGAUGACCAGCCACACUGGAACUGAGACACGGUCCAGACUCCUACGGGAGGCAGCAGUGGGGAAUAUUGCACAAUGGGCGCAAGCCUGGUGCAGCCAUGCCGCGUGUAUGAAGAAGGCCUUCGGGUUGUAAAGUACUUUCAGCGGGGAGGAAGGGAGUAAAGUUAAUACCUUUGCUCAUUGACGUUACCCGCAGAAGAAGCACCGGCUAAAUCCGUG
rnacentral:rRNA from 1 species